GCGUUAUCCGGAUUUACUGGGCGUAAAGCGCGUGUAGGUGGUUGCGUAAGUUAGUUGUGAAAUCCCUCGGCUUAACCGAGGAACUGCAGCUAAUACUGCGCGGCUUGAGUGGCAGAGAGGAAAGUGGAAUUCCCGGUGUAGUAGUGAAAUGCGUAGAUAUCGGGAGGAACACCAGUGGCGAAGGCGACUUUCUGGCUGCUAACUGACACUGAGACGCGAAAGCUAG
rnacentral:rRNA from 1 species